rfam:Callithrix jacchus chromosome 4, whole genome shotgun sequence
CAAAAGGCCCUUUUCAGGGCCCCCACCCUCUCACCUGAGGAGCCGU